GCAGUCGCCCUGCGCGCCUCCCCGCGAGGCUUGUUUUCUAGCGCCUCUGGUGGGCCGCCUCCCGCAGGCCUGGUGUGAGCCUGGGGUCCGUUCUCACAGCUGGAUCUGGGGUCUGAAUGCCGCGCCCUCUGGAGAGCCACAGAUGGGUCUCCGCUGAUGCUUCUCUCAAUUUCCUCUAAGAGCGAGAGCUCCGGGAAAGGAGCCGAUCCUGGUGGAAGACUACAGGUCUGAGUCCACUGGACGAAAAACGAGGCUCCUUGGAUUAGAGACCAUCCUGAGGACAUCCUUGGGAGCCAUGUGCUGAAGAUGGCCAAGCCACAGGAUGAAAGGAGCUGCAUCUUUGAGUCACCACUGGAGAAAGAGAUGAGGUUUCGCCAUGUUGACCAGGCUGGUCUCAAACUCCUGGACUCAAGUGAUCUGCCCACCUCGGCCUCCCAAAGUACUGGGAUUACAGGCAUGAGCCAAUGUGCCCGUCCUGAGGAGUUUUCUUCUGGAAUUCCUGCUGGGUUUUUGUAGUCAGUCCUCUCCCCAUUUCCCACAUUGGCUCUUGCAGACCUUCCUUUUCCCCAUUUCUAUUUGCUACCAUGUCAGACAUGACUUUUGCCAUAGGAUCUCUAUUCUACUAUAGAGGAAACCAAAGCCAUCAGUAGAAAUUUCACUAACAUGGAAUCAGAUUUAUAGAAGAAAGGGGGAGGAAAGUUUUGCCUUAACACCUGGAAGGGUUUCGUUUCUUUUAGUAGCUGGGAGACAGAAACAUAAGAAAGUAGCUUAGUAAGCUUUCUGCUGUUCAACUGAUGAUGUGUGAGCUGUCAGUAGUUCAAACUAGUCAUUAUCUUUAUGAAUUAAUUAUGUAAUAACUUAAACAAUGUCAUAAACCUUCAAAUCAG
rnacentral:lncRNA from 1 species